rfam:Ictidomys tridecemlineatus contig096438, whole genome shotgun sequence.
GGGGUUGUGGCUCAGUGGUAGAGCACUUGCCUUGCAUGUGUGAGGUGCUUGGUUCUAUUCUCAACACCA